rnacentral:rRNA from 1 species
GAUGAACGCUAGCGGGAGGCUUAACACAUGCAAGUCGAGGGGCAGCACGAGGUAGCAAUACUUUGGUGGCGACCGGCGCACGGGUGAGUAACGCGUAUGCAACCUACCCUGUACAGGGGGAUAACCCGGAGAAAUUCGGACUAAUACCCCAUAAAGAUAUUUAGAGGCAUCUUUGAAUAUUUAAAGUUCCGGCGGUACGGGAUGGGCAUGCGUAACAUUAGCUAGUUGGUAUGGUAACGGCUUACCAAGGCAACGAUGUUUAGGGGUCCUGAGAGGGUGAUCCCCCACACUGGUACUGAGACACGGACCAGACUCCUACGGGAGGCAGCAGUGAGGAAUAUUGGUCAAUGGGCGCAAGCCUGAACCAGCCAUCCCGCGUGAAGGAAGAAUGCGCUAUGCGUUGUAAACUUCUUUUCCAGGGGAAUAAAAUUUUGUACGUGUACGGAAUUGAAGGUACCCUGGGAAUAAGCAUCGGCUAACUCCGUGCCAGCAGCCGCUGUAACAC